rnacentral:lncRNA from 1 species
GUCUUUGCCCGAUGCCUCCCCGCAAGGCAUCCACGCAACGAUCCACGGCCUCCGUGGCCAGAUCUCAGGCUCCGGCCUCACCUCCAGUUUUCCAGCCUCCUCCUCCUCCUUCAGCAACGACGAUUGGCGCGGAGCAAUUUGACCUGCUAGCGCAACAGGUCAAAGGCCUCACUGAAGCUGUGCAGGCCAUGCAGCAGCAACAGCAGUCGUAGGCAUCAGUGUGCCUGGAAAGAGCGUCACCGAAACACCAGAAUCUGGCGGUAGGGCGGGCCACUUGGGCCAGCCACCCCCAUCUUCCUCAGAAGGAUGAAUCCG